rnacentral:rRNA from 1 species
GACGAACGCUGGCGGCGUGCUUAACACAUGCAAGUCGAACGGAAAGGCCCUGCUUUUGGGGGGUGCUCGAGUGGCGAACGGGUGAGUAACCCGUGAGUAACCUGCCCUUGACUUUGGGAUAACUUCAGGAAACUGGGGCUAAUACCGGAUAGGAGCUCCUGCUGCAUGGUGGGGGUUGGAAAGUUUCGGCGGUUGGGGAUGGACUCGCGGCUUAUCAGCUUGUUGGUGGGGUAGUGGCUUACCAAGGCUUUGACGGGUAGCCGGCCUGAGAGGGUGACCGGCCACAUUGGGACUGAGGUACGGCCCAGACGCCUACGGGAGGCAGCAGUGGGGAAUAUUGCACAAUGGGCGGAAGCCUGAUGCAGCAACGCCGCGUGCGGGAUGACGGCCUUCGGGUUGUAAACCGCUUUCGCCUGUGACGAAGCGUGAGUGACGGUAAUGGGUAAAGAAGCACCGGCUAACUACGUG